CCUGAUCCCGGUGAUGGAGUUCGUCGUGGUGCCCACUGGGCCCGUCGGUGGAAAAUCCGGCAGGUGGGCGUGCGGCCACCGACUCAGGCUUGGUGAGUAAGCCCGCAUCAACAACAGUGCUCUCCAUCACAGAGCGGUCCCAUUGCUUAGUGAGCCGCUUGAGCUCAAGCUUGAUACCCUCCAUGGCCGCAUCAACGGACGGCUUCCAGGAUAUGAUUUCUUCCUGAGCAUUUUCCAGAACACCUAGGCGCCCCUCCUUGGCAUGCGCCAGAUCCUCAAACUUCUUCUCCCACUUGGC
rnacentral:lncRNA from 1 species